CAUAUAACGUGAAGAACCAAAAGCUUCUCUUUCUGAUCAAUCCCUAGUUGUUAGGUUAUGCCGAAAUCCCACUCCUCCACCGCCGAUCCUCCUUGUCCUUCUUUCUUGUAUGCAGGCCUUCUUUUUUCCAAGGAAUCUGUUCCACCCGGGUACCAAGCUGCGGAUCAAUUCCAACUAUCUGCAGCCGAACACGUCAACAAGAAAAAUGACUGAAAUCCGCUCAGUUUCCACAGACGCUCAAAUAGACGAUUAACUCUGGCAUCCCGGAAGCUUAUAGCGCAAAGGCAAACCUUCUUGUCAGCCGGUCGCCAAAGUCGUUGUCUCCAUCGAUCCCCUUCAUACCGAGGAUUCCUCUUCUCCCCAAGUACCCCUCUCUCUCGCUUUCUCGCUCUCUCUAUAUACAUAGCUAUAUAUCCUAUAAAAUUGUAUUCAAUUUUGAUUUUUUAUAUACAUUUUAAAAUAAUUUCUCUAAUUUUCAAAAAUAUUAACUUUCUCACUUCAUUUGAUAGGUAACUAACUCUUGUUGAAAAAUAAGAUAGGUAACUGACUCUUGUUGCUUCUAUUUUCACUUUCUUUACAUCAAGCCUCAUUUCUAAGUUGGGUUUUCAUCUUUUGAAUCAUGCCCUGGUUCUUAUUUUUGAUUGUGUAAAUAUUACUGUAUUAUUUAGAUGCACACUACAAUCUUCCCUUAUUCAUACUACUUCAUAGACAGAAGCGACAAUUCAUUAGGUAAGAAGUCAUCACUCUGUUUUUAUUUUUUAAUUUUUGGGUGUGUGUCUUCAUCUUAUAUUUCUUUAUAAAUUGUAUGAUGCCUUAGAUAUAUUCAGCAAUUCCUUCUUUUUGUACUCGUGACAACAAUUCUAAUCCCCCAACCAGAAACCAAUCUACCACUUAUCAAAAGGAGAACCAAUACCUACCAUUUCCACAAUUGGAGCCCCAAAAGUUUCUGACCCUUCAGUCUUGGAAUUGAAAGAGCACAAGACAAACCCACCACAAUGAAUACAAGACUGACCCAUUGAAGUGGACUGACAGCACCGAGAGUUCUUAUUAUAUAUAUAUAUAUAUAUAUAUAUAUAUAUAUAUCUAUCCUUUCUUUCUUAUUUUUUCCCAAAGAGUUCUUAUUUUAAAUAAUUUUUAAAUUUUAAUUUAAAUCAAUCUUACACUCUAAAUUCUGGAUUUCUUUAUAAAAAAAUCAACUUUAAUUAUAUACCAUGAAAAAAAUAGUAACUUCCUGCAAUAGAGUAUGUUAUUCCGUCGGCUAGUGAAUAAGAAUGAAAUUGAUAUUGCAGUGUCCAAUUCAGUUUUAACUCAAUAAAGCCAGUCACUAUAUUUAUGUUGACAUUGCCUGUUGAAGAGAAUGCAAGACUGAUUUAUAUAGGCCUGUCACUUUUAAAGUUUGCGAUUUCUCACUUGAAAUAUAUAUAUAUAUAUAUAUAAUUCAAUCAGUGUACAUGGUUAAUUAAAUCGGCCUUUCUAAUUGUUGAUUGUUUAAUGGGUUUGUGGAGUAGUGUUUGCAUCAUUAUUAAGUUUAAAUGUUGUGCAGUGUUUUGUUUAUAUAGUUUAAUGGGAUUCAAAACUUUAUAUAUAUAUAUCUAAACUGUUUUGAGAAGAGAAAAUUGCGGGGAAUAAGAGAAUUUUUAGGAAGAAAAUAAGGGUUGAGAUUUGUCUUUGCAUCUGAGCUUAAUCAUGUCCACAACUAGUUAUUUCAUUUUCUAUAUUAUACUUACAAUUCAACAUGUGCAUUAGCAAUUUUAGUUUUGCAUUGUAAAUAGAAUCCAAAAGCAUCGUAUUUAUCUUUUUUUAUUUUUUAUUUUUUAUUUUUUUUAUUAUUAUAGUAUAUUUGGCUCUUUACUAAUUGUUAUGUUCUUAAUAUUUGGGUUUAAAAAAGAAGUUAUUAAUCAAGCUACAUACUGUUGUUUGAAAUUAAGCCUAUACAUUGAUCAGUUUGUUAUUUUUCCCUUUUGUUUUUCCUUGCUUUUUGUUGAUGAUCAAUUUAACCUUUUAUUCCCUAGAGUGAUUAUGAUCUUGAAGUAACUUUUGGGCAAGUGUUUGUGCCUAUCUCAGUCAUUUGUAGACAAAAGUGUAUAAAUGUAUCUUAAUUCUUUUUUAUUAUAGGACCUAACGUUACUAUCAGAUAUCUUGGGUAAAGAUAGACAAGAUGGAAUACAAAACGAUUAAUUUAUUGCAACCUACUAUUUUACCUCAACCCUUCACUCUUCUUCUUCUUCUAUAUUCAAUGUCUAAACAAUCUUCUUCUCUUGAAGAGGUUUUGACACAUAACUACAGGUCCUUUGGGAUCAUUUGAUGCAUGCCAACUAAGUCACAGUGCAACCACUUUAUUAAUACUCCAUGACUGCUAUGAAAUUUAUAUUUAUAUAGAAAAAUAAAGCAUUGAUACAUGGACGACUUUAACUUUUAACAACGCUCGUACUUACAAUGAACUUGGUUUAGGUGAUGAAUCACUUCUACUAGAACUAGUCACUUGGUUUUGAACAAGUCAGCAAGGAGUCAUGGAUAAAGGAUGGAUGCAACUUCUAGACAGGUUGAUAUAAGCUUAAUAUCCUUACCCGUAAAAUUGUAGACGUUAUACUUGCCUGCCAUUUUUUUCAUAAUUAAAAAUUUGAGUUUUCAACUGUAGAGCUUCAAAUGAGUAUACAAUAGGAGCACAACGCUUUGUUGAUUGGGCUCGACGUAAUGCUGGGAAUUGAGUUAGCUUUUUAUGCCCUUGCAACCAUUAUUUAAAUUUUAAAUUCAAUAUAUCAACACUUGAAUAAUAUUUAUGGGCACAUAGUGGAAUACGGAAUGGAAGCUACAUACACCGUAUGGGUCCAUCAUGGAGAUAAUCGGAGUGCAAAUGUACGAAAUGAAGGAAAUGAGCAAGGUGUGGAAAUGCCUGAAACAUAUAAUAUGUUUAGAGAUGCAUAUUUUGAUGGUGAAGAUAACGUUGCUACAGAGCCUACUGAUGGAAGAUGCAUAUUUUGAUUUUCAUUGCCGGAGAUUGUCAAAUUCAUUAUUAUUGCUUUCACCUUUAUAGUGAGAUGGUUAUUGACUUGCCUCCUAUUAUUUUGUCGUUGUAUGCACGUGUUUGAUAUUGUAGAUUUUCGAGCUUGUGCACAAAUAUUUUCAUUAUGUCUGGACAUAUCGGGGUAAGCAUAUGGAUGCAUUCAGUUAAUGUUGUUAUCAUAAUUUCUUUAGUGUUUAUGUUUAAGUGUCACCUGAUUUUAAUGUCUUGUUUUCUUUUAUUAAUGUGCAUGUAUUUGAAAUGAAAUCAUCCAAAAGGGCUAAAAAAAGCCAAGCAAUUGAAUGUCAAGCGAUUGAGGCCUCACUGGAGCGUACAUCGUCAGGACUACGCAUUUUUGAUGUGGAUUCAAACUCUUCACAAACACCUACUUCUCAAGUCCUUAACAAUGAGAACCGAGCAAUAGGCGGUACUAAAAAAAGAGGUAGGGGGCAGUCUACAUUAACUGGUAUUAUAGGUUCAAAAGAUAAGAAGCCUCGUGUAGAGUUUGACGAGUUUGGGGAGACAAUUGGGGAUGUUGGUACAAAGUACAAUUCAACCCUUCCAAUAUUAGCACGUGGGAUGGUGCUCGUAACAAUUGAAAAAUGGAACCAACUGCCAGAAACUUUGCUAAAAAAGCUAUGGGAUGCCGUUCAGUUAUGAUUUGAUGUUGACAAUAGUGCAUCCUAUGACGCAUUUAAAAAGAUGGGAAAUGCCUGGCGCUCCAACAAGUCUGAACUUACAAAAAAGGUGCUGUAGGUGAGAAAUAAUCCACAAAAAAUACAACUCCUGAAGCCCGGAAAUGUACCCACAAUGGAGGAGUGGUUAAGAUUUAUUGAGCAACGUUUAUCAGAAGAUUAUGCUAAGGUUAGAAAGCAGAUGCAAGAAUUGUAGGCUAAAAAUACAACCCCACACACAAUGAGCCGAAAAGGCUAUGCUGGAACGGAGAGAGAAUUG